GCGGCCUAUCAGCUUGUUGGUGAGGUAAUGGCUCACCAAGGCGACGACGGGUAGCCGGCCUGAGAGGGCGACCGGCCACACUGGGACUGAGGCACGGCCCAGACUCCUACGGGAGGCAGCAGUGGGGAAUAUUGAGCAAUGGAGGAAACUCUGACCCAGCGACGCCGCGUGCGGGAUGAAGGCCUUCGGGUUGUAAACCGCUUUCAGCAAGGAAGAAGCGAAAGUGACGGUACUUGCAGAAGAAGCACCGGCUAACUAUGUGCCAGCAGCCGCGGUAAUACAUAGGGUGCAAGCGUUGUCCGGAAUUAUUGGGCGUAAAGAGCUCGUAGGCGGUUCGUCACGUCGGAUGUGAAAAUCUGGGGCUUAACCCCAGACCUGCAUUCGAUACGGGCGAGCUAGAGUGUGGUAGGGGAGACUGGAAUUCCU
rnacentral:rRNA from 1 species